rnacentral:lncRNA from 1 species
CUACUUUAAAGUGUUAAUAGCUUGCAUGUGUAUUCAAAUGUUCAUACUUGUUCUUAGCUAGGACAAAAUUUUUUCCUUCAAGUGGUAUCAGAGCCUAGGCCUAGUGUAUGGUGAAUCCUUUUGGGUUUUGUGAUGUUCAUAUUUUGUGAUUUAAAUGUUGUAAAUGUUACAAGCUUUGUUCUUGCUUUUGAAUAUAAAUUUUGCUAGAAAAUUUAGCAUCUCAAAUGUUGUAGAUGUAUUUCAUAUAAGCAUGAAUAUUGGAACUAAAAUUUGGUGCCAUGAGUUUUGGGAAAUUCGGCCAAAGCCUUAGGGUGACUUUUUGGGUUCAUGUUUGUCUUGUUAAAAUGGUUUUAAGGUGACUUUUGGAACCCCUAAGUACCCUAGGAUGUUAGCCCUCUUUUGAGAGGUGAAAAAUUGAGUUUUGGUGAAUGAAAACAUCCAUGGGGCUAUUAUGAGUUUUCAUGGUGUUCUUCAAAUGUUCUUGAAGUUCUUGCCAAGAACAAAAAGGUUUGAAGUUUUGAUUCAAAAUUUUUAUGUUUUUCAUAAAGUUUUGGUAUAUAAUUGAUUUAUUAUUUGAUGGGUGAUGUUAUUGGUGAGAUGUGAUGAAAUGGUUUUAAUGUUUGUCAUAAACUUUAAGUUUUUCUUACAAACCAUCACCUUCACCUUUAACCUCACCUAAUAAAAUCAACUUGCAAAAACUUUUUAGAAAUUUUUUCAAAUUUUCAUUAAAUGGCCGGCCACCCCCUAGUGGGGGUCCUUUUGGGGCCUUUUGUGCAAUUAACAUAAAGUUUUGAUACUUUUGUGUUUUUGCAUUUUGGCCCAAAAAGUUUACGUUUUUACGUUUAGGCUUAAAAACUCUAAAGGACAAAUUGUUUUGAUCCUUUAAUGAUGUUUUUACAUUAUUAAAAUUUUGGGAUCUAGUUGUAUUUACAUGAAGUUGUGGACUAUUGUGUUUAUACAAAGUGACCCCAAAAGUUUUGUAUUUGCAUUAUGGCCCAAAUGUUGUGGUCAUAGUUUCCUUUUGGCCCAAAUAAAAUGAGAACAAAAUUGUUUUGUCUCUUUAAUGAGAAUUGGAUUUUCAUUCUAUUUAGUUCCAUUUAAAUCAAUUCUAUGGAUCCAAAAAAACCAAUUGUUUAAAGAUGCUUUCUUAGUUAAUGUGAUUGAUUAAGAAAAGGGUGAUUAUGAACCAAAGGCCACGAUAAUUGAGCUAUGUGAUUGGCCGCUUUACAUUAUGAAUGUUUGGGUUUGGUAGUGU